rnacentral:ribozyme from 1 species
AGUAGUUAUACUGCACUGGUAAGGUAUGGAUCCGAAACCUCUUGAAGACUCUUCAUUCCCUACUUCGACUCAAUACGUCCCCGGCGUUUAGAACGGUUACAUGUCUCGUCAAAUAUCUGAGCUUGGGUAUACGGGGAAAUCCAACCCCUUGGGAAGAUGGGUGAUAUGGCUAAAUUGAGCGAA